rnacentral:rRNA from 1 species
UACGAAGGGUGCAAGCGUUACUCGGAAUUACUGGGCGUAAAGCGUGCGUAAGUGGUUUGUUAAGUCUGUUGUGAAAGCCCCGGGCUCAACCUGGGAAUGGCAAUGGAUACUGGACAGCUAGAGUGCGGUAGAGGGUAGUGGAAUUCCCGGUGUAGCAGUGAAAUGCGUAGAGAUCGGGAGGAACACCAGUGGCGAAGGCGGCUACCUGGACCAGCACUGACACUGAAGCACGAAAGCGUGGGGAGCAAACAGG